GGAGUCCUUUCUGUAAGCCUGGAUUUUUGGGUAGCACCCCCUGUUCUGGCAGGUCCUGGCAGGCUGGUCUUCCACAGCUACUGGGGAAGAUGUAUUUCCCCCUUCAAGGGCCUGUAUUAUGGAGGAGCGCAAUCUGAAGAAUUUAGCAAAGAACUUCUGGACAGUGAAAUCUGCAGUGAACGGAGGACUUUCAGAACAAAGACAUGCUCUUCUCAUCUUAUCAAAAUUCAUAUUCAUAUAUGUUCAAUGAUAAUGUUUUCUGACACUGUCUUUGGUAUAUGGUUGCUUUUACUCUUUUAGCCCACUUUCAAGAACAGUCAACUUGAGAUCUCUUUAUGGGACUGUACCGAUAGCAACUCAGAAUGGUGAACUGAGGAAACUCAACUUUUUGAAGGCAAUUUAGUUUUACCAAACAAUGCAAUUGCUUGCAGCCAGGGUUUGUCAUUCUGUUAUCACUUUCACAGUAUGAAUCCCAUGCCUCAGAUCUGUGGAAAGUUUAACUAUUUGUAGCCACAGGAUUCUAGGAAGAAUGGAAAUAUCCUGCAGAGUCCCUGUCAUAUGGAGAAAUGCAUUUCCACAGUCCAGUGAUAGAGAUGUACAGCAACUUUCAGCAACCUAAUUAGUUUCUUGAUCAGAGGAAGACAACUCUUCAAGGCAAAUGAAAAGGUCAUUGCAAAUCCCAGAGAAAUAUUCAUGUCUUUUGUCAUAUUAACUGACAGAUACUUAAAUAUAACCACUCACUUUUCCUGCAGACACUGUCAGAAGAUGCCAGACAGCUGACAAGCAGCAAUGAAUUCGUAUCACCACCCUGACAUACCAACAAUGAGGAAGUGAAUAAAACUACUAAAUGCUCUUUUUGUGCUGCUGAGAGAUAGGUCUGGGUCAGCAUACACUUACAAAUCUGGUGAUACAUAAAGGACGUUGUGACUUCUCUGAAGAUGGUUUACCCCAAUUAAUAAUAUCAGCAGGGGAAAGGAAUGCUGCUAUGCUACUGGAGCACUGAGAGAGGAUGUAGAAAGCUGGAGUAUGCACCAAGAUCUCUGUACAACCUUAGUAAAGUCUUGUAAUAUUUUUGAGGAGUAACACUUGCCUGCAUAUUUAUUCCAAGACUGACUUUAGGUAUCAUGAAGCUGUGAGUUUACUUUCUUUCAGCUCUUUAUCUGUAAGAUGGAGAAAAGGCAUUUCUUUUUUCCACCAUUUGGCUAUCAAUAACUGUAAAAGCCUCAGGGUAAGAAUAGGUCUGAACUGCAGUUAUGACAUGAGUAGACAGCUGCCUGGUAUCAUUAACACAGGAUCCUGAAUGCAGAAAACAUUAACAAAAGAAUGAAGGCAUUUUGAUCCCAGAGGAAAUCUUAUUUUGUUGCAUAAAGUGUUUUGUGUAACUGAACUCCAGUACUAGCCAGUGUAUUUUAUAGAAAAUGUACUAGCAAUCUUCUUCCCAGCAGUGAUCAUAGAAAUAAUACUGGAACAAUCAUGGUGCACGUGUGACUGCAGUACAGUGAAUUUUGUCUGGCUACUUUCUUAUCAUGGAACACACUGGUAAUAUUAAUUGCAUAGAAAUCCCAGAGAAAUCUGAUUUGAAGGUGACCUGAUCUCGGAGUAUCAGCUUCAGGAUGUUCCUUGUUCAAGAUGUGUGAAGUAGAUACAGACAUUUCAAAGUCAGGUUGGACAGCACUUUGAGCAACUUGGUUUAGAGGAAGGUAUCCCUUCCUAUGGCAGGGAGAUGAACUAGAUGAUCUUUAAGAUCAUUUCCAAUUCAAACCAUGCUAUGGUAUCUCAUUCUUCCAGAUGACAUGAUCCUUCUUCUUGGCCCAUAUUAUUCUGUACUCUCAUUCUGUGUUACUGCUCUUGUAGCACACUUUCCAACCUAGCAGUGAAAAGAAAUGUGUAUGUUUAUAUGCUACAUGGCCACUAUUUCGUGUAUGCAGCCUGUAUAUUUUGUCUUGUUAAAAAUAUUUAACAGACUGUUUACAAGAGGUUCUAUGCUGGGAUAAGAAUUCAGAUAAGUUAGGAAUGUGGAAACUAGCCUUCUUAAAACUAAUUUUUCACCCAGAACAGUGUUUAUCUGACUCCCAACACAGUCACUUGUGAAAGCUGUAGGGAUGGGCACCAUGACUGGAAAAGAAAAUAUAUCCCAAAAGAACCCAAGGACCCUAAGUAUUUACUUUUGCCGCAGAAGUGCGUUUGUUCUGCACGAACCAAGCAAGGAAGUUUCUACUUCUGCACCUGUAGAAAAACUCUACUAGGUAAGAAAUCACGCUCGUUUAUGCGUUUAUGAUUCUUCAUCCUGAUAUUUCUCAUGUUACAACUGAACUAUGGUACAAAUUAAAUGGGGCCAACUCCCCCUUUUUUUU